rnacentral:rRNA from 1 species
AUGGAGAACAGGAUGGUCAUUGCAGAUUGUGGGGCUAUAAACUUGCUGGUUGGUCUUCUUCAUUCACCAGAUGCCAAGGUCCAAGAAAAUGCAGUGACAUGCCUCCUCAAUCUGUCCAUCAGUGAUAACAAUAAGAUUGCCAUCGUGAAUGCAUAUGCUGUUGAUCCUCUCAUCCAUGUCCUGGAAACAGGGAACCCUAAAGCUAAAGAGAAUUCAGCAGCUACUUUGUCCAGUCUCUCGGUUACUGAAGAAAACAAAGUGAGGAUCGGGCGGUCUGGUGCCAUCAAGCCUCUCGUGGACUUGCUGGUAAGUGGGACCCCGCAAGGAAAGAGAGAUGCAGCUAUUGCAUUGUCUCAUUUAUCCAUACUUCAUGAGAACAAGGGUCGCAUUGUGCAAGCUGAUGCGGUGAAGCAACUAGUUCAGCUAAUGGAUCCUGCUCUUGGAAUAACCGGCAAAGCUGUUGCUGUCUUGGCAAGUCUUGCUAUGAUACCAGAAGGGAGAACUGCGAUUUGGGAGACGCGAGGUAUUCCAGCUCUUGUUGAAGUUGUCGAACUGGGUUCAGCGAGAGGGAAGGAAAAUGCUGCCGCGGCAUUGCUUCAGCUAUGCACAAACAGCAGCCGAUCUUGCAGCGUAGUUCUUAGAGAGGGCGCCGUGCCCCCUUUAGCCGCACUGUCACAGUCAGGAACACCGCGAGCAAGAGAAAAGGCACAGGCUCUUCUCAGCUACUUCCACAGCCUGAGACGUGGGAACUCAUUAAGCGUUUCCAGGUGGUUGACCGGUGCUGCGCAUUUAUAG